UACGGGGGGGGCAAGCGUUGUUCGGAAUUACUGGGCGUAAAGGGCGCGUAGGCGGCCCUCUAAGUCAGACGUGAAAUCCCACGGCUUAACCGUGGAACUGCGUCCGAUACUGGAGGGCUUGAAUCCGGGAGAGGGAUGUGGAAUUCCAGGUGUAGCGGUGAAAUGCGUAGAUAUCUGGAGGAACACCGGUGGCGAAGGCGGCAUCCUGGACCGGUAUUGACGCUGAGGCGCGAAAGCUAGGGGAGCAAACGGG
rnacentral:rRNA from 1 species